AUGUUAGCGGCGGACGGGUGAGUAACACGUGGGUAACCUGCCUGUAAGACUGGGAUAACUCCGGGAAACCGGGGCUAAUACCGGAUGCUUGUUUGAACCGCAUGGUUCAAACAUAAAAGGUGGCUUCGGCUACCACUUACAGAUGGACCCGCGGCGCAUUAGCUAGUUGGUGAGGUAACGGCUCACCAAGGCAACGAUGCGUAGCCGACCUGAGAGGGUGAUCGGCCACACUGGGACUGAGACACGGCCCAGACUCCUACGGGAGGCAGCAGUAGGGAAUCUUCCGCAAUGGACGAAAGUCUGACGGAGCAACGCCGCGUGAGUGAUGAAGGUUUUCGGAUCGUAAAGCUCUGUUGUUAGGGAAGAACAAGUACCGUUCGAAUAGGGCGGUACCUUGACGGUACCUAACCAGAAAGCCACGGCUAACUACGUGCCAGCAGCCGCGGUAAUACGUAGGUGGCAAGCGUUGUCCGGAAUUAUUGGGCGUAAAGGGCUCGCAGGCGGUUUCUUAAGUCUGAUGUGAAAGCCCCCGGCUCAACCGGGGAGGGUCAUUGGAAACUGGGGAACUUGAGUGCAGAAGAGGAGAGUGGAAUUCCACGUGUAGCGGUGAAAUGCGUAGAGAUGUGGAGGAACACCAGUGGCGAAGGCGACUCUCUGGUCUGUAACUGACGCUGAGGAGCGAAAGCGUGGGGAGCGAACAGGAUUAGAUACCCUGGUAGUCCACGCCGUAAACGAUGAGUGCUAAGUGUUAGGGGGUUUCCGCCCCUUAGUGCUGCAGCUAACGCAUUAAGCACUCCGCCUGGGGGAGUACGGUCGCAAGACUGAAACUCAAAGGAAUUGACGGGGGCCCGCACAAGCGGUGGAGCAUGUGGUUUAAUUCGAAGCAACGCGAAGAACCUUACCAGGUCUUGACAUCCUCUGACAAUCCUAGAGAUAGGACGUCCCCUUCGGGGGCAGAGUGACAGGUGGUGCAUGGUUGUCGUCAGCUCGUGUCGUGAGAUGUUGGGUUAAGUCCCGCAACGAGCGCAACCCUUGAUCUUAGUUGCCAGCAUUCAGUUGGGCACUCUAAGGUGACUGCCGGUGACAAACCGGAGGAAGGUGGGGAUGACGUCAAAUCAUCAUGCCCCUUAUGACCUGGGCUACACACGUGCUACAAUGGACAGAACAAAGGGCAGCGAAACCGCGAGGUUAAGCCAAUCCCACAAAUCUGUUCUCAGUUCGGAUCGCAGUCUGCAACUCGACUGCGUGAAGCUGGAAUCGCUAGUAAUCGCG
rnacentral:rRNA from 1 species